rnacentral:rRNA from 1 species
GACGAACGCUGGCGGCGUGCCUAAUGCAUGCAAGUAGAACGCUGAAGAGAGGAGCUUGCUCUUCUUGGAUGAGUUGCGAACGGGUGAGUAACGCGUAGGUAACCUGCCUUGUAGCGGGGGAUAACUAUUGGAAACGAUAGCUAAUACCGCAUAACAAUGGAUGACACAUGUCAUUUAUUUGAAAGGGGCAAUUGCUCCACUACAAGAUGGACCUGCGUUGUAUUAGCUAGUAGGUGAGGUAACGGCUCACCUAGGCGACGAUACAUAGCCGACCUGAGAGGGUGAUCGGCCACACUGGGACUGAGACACGGCCCAGACUCCUACGGGAGGCAGCAGUAGGGAAUCUUCGGCAAUGGGGGCAACCCUGACCGAGCAACGCCGCGUGAGUGAAGAAGGUUUUCGGAUCGUAAAGCUCUGUUGUAAGUCAAGAACGAGUGUGAGAGUGGAAAGUUCACACUGUGACGGUAGCUUACCAGAAAGGGACGGCUAACUACGUGCCAGCAGCCGCGGUAAUACGUAGGUCCCGAGCGUUGUCCGGAUUUAUUGGGCGUAAAGCGAGCGCAGGCGGUUUGAUAAGUCUGAAGUUAAAGGCUGUGGCUCAACCAUAGUUCGCUUUGGAAACUGUCAAACUUGAGUGCAGAAGGGGAGAGUGGAAUUCCAUGUGUAGCGGUGAAAUGCGUAGAUAUAUGGAGGAACACCGGUGGCGAAAGCGGCUCUCUGGUCUGUAACUGACGCUGAGGCUCGAAAGCGUGGGGAGCGAACAGG